CCUACGGGAGGCAGCAGUGGGGAAUAUUGGACAAUGGGGGAAACCCUGAUCCAGCGACGCCGCGUGAGUGAAGAAGUAUUUCGGUACGUAAAGCUCUAUCAGCAGGAAAGAAAAUGACGGUACCUGACUAAGAAGCACCGGCUAACUACGUGCCAGCAGCCGCGGUAAUACGUAGGGGGCAAGCGUUAUCCGGAUUUACUGGGUGUAAAGGGAGCGUAGACGGCAGCGCAAGUCUGGAGUGAAAUGCCGGGGCCCAACCCCGGAACUGCUCUGGAAACUGUGAAGCUUGAGUGCAGGAGAGGUAAGCGGAAUUCCUGGUGUAGCGGUGAAAGGCGUAGAUAUUAGGAGGAACACCGGCGGCGAAGGCGGCUUACUGGACUGUAACUGACGUUGAGGCUCGAAGGCGUGGGGAGCAAACAGGAUUAGAUACCCUUGUAGUC
rnacentral:rRNA from 1 species